CCAGAACGGAUGGAGACGUCUGACGGAGCACGCCGCGUGAGUGAUGAAGGCUUUCGGGUCGUAAAACUCUGUUGUUAGGGAAGAACAAGUACGAGAGUAACUGCUCGUACCUUGACGGUACCUAACCAGAAAGCCACGGCUAACUACGUGCCAGCAGCCGCGGUAAUACGUAGGUGGCAAGCGUUAUCCGGAAUUAUUGGGCGUAAAGCGCGCGCAGGCGGUUUCUUAAGUCUGAUGUGAAAGCCCACGGCUCAACCGUGGAGGGUCAUUGGAAACUGGGGAACUUGAGUGCAGAAGAGAAAAGCGGAAUUCCACGUGUAGCGGUGAAAUGCGUAGAGAUGUGGAGGAACACCAGUGGCGAAGGCGGCUUUUUGGUCUGUAACUGACGCUGAGGCGCGAAAGCGUGGGGAGCAAACAGGAUUAGAUACCCUGGUAGUCCACGCCGUAAACGAUGAGUGCUAAGUGUUAGAGGGUUUCCGCCCUUUAGUGCUGCAGCUAACGCAUUAAGCACUCCGCCUGGGGAGUACGGUCGCAAGACUGAAACUCAAAAAUUUUUGACGG
rnacentral:rRNA from 1 species